GACGAACCGUGCGAACGUUGUUCGGAAUCACUGGGCUUAAAGGGCGCGUAGGCGGGCCGGCAAGUCAGGGGUGAAAUCCCACGGCUCAACCGUGGAAGUGCCUUUGAUACUGUCGGCCUCGAGGGAGGUAGGGGCGUGCGGAACUUCCGGUGGAGCGGUGAAAUGCGUAGAUAUCGGAAGGAACACCGGUGGCGAAAGCGGCGCGCUGGACCUCUUCUGACGCUGAGGCGCGAAAGCCAGGGGAGCAAACGGG
rnacentral:rRNA from 1 species